UGUCCGUCUCCCCCGAGCCUGAAUUGGAGCCGUCGGAGCCUCCUGUGGAAGCGGAGCCGCUGCCGGCAGCCUCCUCCAUCCCUGCCCUCUCCAACGGCCCGUCGGAGCCGGAGGCUUCGGAGCCCACUGGAACUGGGCUGGAUGAGCCGGGAAGCCCCGAGGAUGUUGCUGCAUCCCUGGCAGUGCAGAUCGUGUCCGAGGCGCUGGCCACAGUGGCGGAAAGCGCUGAAGCGACUCCGGCUCCAGCUGCGGAGCUUCCCGACGGAGGGGACGCAGUCCCGGAGAGCAGCGACUCCGGAGAGAGCGGAGAGGAGCUGGAGCCCUCCCAGAACCUGGCAGAAACCCAGUGCGACUUGGCCGAGGCGCCGGAGCCGGACAGGGACCAGGAGCCUGUGGACCCUCCGGACACGGCCGAGCCCCUCGGCUCCACAUGAGCCCAUGUUC